GUUAAACGCUGGCGGCAUGCCUUACACAUGCAAGUCGAACGGCAGCACGGGGGCAACCCUGGUGGCGAGUGGCGAACGGGUGAGUAAAGCAUCGGAACGUGCCCUGGAGUGGGGGAUAACGUAGCGAAAGUUACGCUAAUACCGCAUAUUCUGUGAGCAGGAAAGCAGGGGAUCGCAAGACCUUGCGCUCUGGGAGCGGCCGAUGUCGGAUUAGCUAGUUGGUGGGGUAAAGGCCUACCAAGGCGACGAUCCGUAGCGGGUCUGAGAGGAUGAUCCGCCACACUGGGACUGAGACACGGCCCAGACUCCUACGGGAGGCAGCAGUGGGGAAUUUUGGACAAUGGGCGAAAGCCUGAUCCAGCCAUGCCGCGUGAGUGAAGAAGGCCUUCGG
rnacentral:rRNA from 1 species